CAAGAAAUAGUUUAUUAAAAAUAUUAAUUUUGGGGAUUAAAGUUAUUGUAUUUUAAUUUUCUUGA
rnacentral:tRNA from 1 species